rnacentral:rRNA from 1 species
GUGGGGAAUAUUGGACAAUGGGGGGAACCCUGAUCCAGCCAUGCCGCGUGUGUGAAGAAGGCCUUUUGGUUGUAAAGCACUUUAAGCGAGGAGGAGGCUACCGAGAUUAAUACUCUUGGAUAGUGGACGUUACUCGCAGAAUAAGCACCGGCUAACUCUGUGCCAGCAGCCGCGGUAAUACAGAGGGUGCAAGCGUUAAUCGGAUUUACUGGGCGUAAAGCGCGCGUAGGUGGCCAAUUAAGUCAAAUGUGAAAUCCCCGAGCUUAACUUGGGAAUUGCAUUCGAUACUGGUUGGCUAGAGUAUGGGAGAGGAUGGUAGAAUUCCAGGUGUAGCGGUGAAAUGCGUAGAGAUCUGGAGGAAUACCGAUGGCGAAGGCAGCCAUCUGGUCUAAUACUGACACUGAGGUGCGAAAGCAUGGGGAGCAAACAGGAUUAGAAACCCGUGUAGUCC